rnacentral:rRNA from 1 species
GGGGGGGGGGGGGGGGGGGCGGGGCGCGGGCGGGGCGGGCGGGGAGGGCGCGUCGGGGGGGCGCGAGCGGCGAACGGGGGAGUAACACGGGGGUGACCUGCCCUCAGCUCUGGGAUAAGCCUGGGAAACUGGGUCUGAUACCGGAUAUGACCUUUCCUCGCAUGGGGUGGGGGGGAAAGUUUUUUCGGCUGGGGAUGGGGCCGCGGCCUAUCAGCUUGUUGGUGGGGUGAUGGCCUACCAAGGCGACGACGGGUAGCCGGCCUGAGAGGGCGACCGGCCACACUGGGACUGAGACACGGCCCAGACUCCUACGGGAGGCAGCAGUGGGGAAUAUUGCGCAAUGGGCGGAAGCCUGACGCAGCGACGCCGCGUGGGGGAUGACGGCCUUCGGGUUGUAAACCUCUUUCGACCCCGACGAAUUUGGACGGUAGGGGUAGAAGAAGCACCGGCCAACUACGUG